rnacentral:rRNA from 1 species
UGGUGGAGUGAUUUGUCUGGUUAAUUCCGUUAACGAACGAGACCUCGACCUGCUAAAUAGCACCACGAUGGUCUUACAUCGUGCAGUGGCUUCUUAGAGGGACUUUGGGUUAGUAGCCUAAGGAAGUUCGAGGCAAUAACA